rnacentral:rRNA from 1 species
UACGAAGGGUGCAAGCGUUACUCGGAAUUACUGGGCGUAAAGCGUGCGUAGGUGGUGAGUUAAGUCUGUCGUGAAAGCCCCGGGCUCAACCUGGGAAUUGCAUUCGAGACUGAAUAGCUAGGGUACGGUAGAGGGAAGUGGAAUUUCCGGUGUAGCGGUGAAAUGCGUAGAUAUCGGAAGGAACAUCAGUGGCGAAAGCGACUUCCUGGACCAGUACCGACGUUCAGGCACGAAAGCGUGGGGAGCAAACAGG